UUCAAAGACUCUGAACUUGGUGCUGAUGUUACAAAGACAAGACCUGGUCAUGCCCUAAAAUUGCUUGGUGUCUCAUGGCUGAAGUUGAGCCCAGUGGCCCCUGUGCCAUGGUGGAGUCUCUUGCUGUUGACUACCUUCAGGGUGUUGAUGAGUGUUGACUGGAACAGGACCAGGAUAAGGGGCGGGAGCCACAAGAACAAAGACCAAGGGACAGUGUUGGGUCCUGCCUCCCAGAGACCACCAGCUGUGAUUGAGGUUGAUUAAAAAUGAAAAACAAGCAAAGCAUUCACCCAUCUCCUGUCCUCUCCAUACCUCUGUUUCCUGCCCCUGGAAAGAUUCUCCUAUAUCCUUGGCUUUAAGUUCCUUUCUGUGACAUAGUUAAAAAGCAGGUUAAAGAUUUAUUUGUGAAUUUCCACUGGAUUCCCUUGGCUUCUCGAGUCAAUUCAACACUGUCUCCCUCCCACCUGUGAACUCAGGUUAGUGAGUUUACUUCCCUAACCUCACUGGCCUUGUUUGGACAAAGGAGGCCUGUCCAGAUGCUGGCCCUGCAGAAUUAAAAAAAACAAAACAAAACAAAACA